AGAGUUUGACUCCUGGCUACAGGAGAACGCUGGCGGCGUGCUUAACACAUGCAAGUCGACGGAAAGGCCCUGCUUUUGUGGGUGCUCGAGUGGCAACGGGUGAGUAACACGUGGGUAACCUGCCCUUGACUUUGGGAUAACUUCAGGAAACUGGGGCUAAUACCGGAUAGGAGCUCCUGCUGCAUGGUGGGGGUUGGAAAGUUUCGGCGGUUGGGGAUGGACUCGCGGCUUAUCAGCUUGUUGGUGGGGUAGUGGCUUACCAAGGCUUUGACGGGUAGCCGGCCUGAGAGGGUGACCGGCCACAUUGGGACUGAGAUAUGGCCCAGACUCCUACGGGAGGCAGCAGUGGGGAAUAUUGCACAAUGGGCGGAAGCCUGAUGCAGCAACGCCGCGUGCGGGAUGACGGCCUUCGGGUUGUAAACCGCUUUCGCCUGUGACGAAGCGUGAGUGACGGUAAUGGGUAAAGAAGCACCGGCUAACUACGUG
rnacentral:rRNA from 1 species